rnacentral:rRNA from 1 species
GAAGAGCUCAACUUGAAAAUCGGCGAGGUUCCCUCGUCGAAUUGUAGUCUAUAGGCACGUAGUCGCGAGGACUUCCGCAUAAAUCCGUUCUUGGAACUGGGUGCCGAGGAGGGUUAUAGCCCCGUAUUCGGCGGAUAGUUUCUCGCUUCACGAUUGCGUGCCAACGAGUCGGCUUGCUUGGGAGUGCAGGCUUAAUUGGGUGGUAAACUUCAUCUAAAGCUAAAUACUGACGGAAGACCGAUAGCGAACAAGUACCGUGAGGGAAAGAUGGAAAGAACUUUGAAAAGAGAGUGAAAAAGUACUUGAAAUUGUUAAGAGGAAAAGCGAUCGAAACCAACCGUACGCCGGUCUGUUCCAGGCACCUGUAGCGCAAGCGAAGGGUGUUGCACCAUGGAUCGGCGUGGGUCAGCAUCGUUUGGGAUCCGCGGAGAAUACUGGGAGUGUGUUGGCGGGGCUUCGGCUCUGCUCGCUCCUGGGAACACGGGGAACCCGAGCGAGGUGAAUGGGGGCGCGCUCAGCGGCCGGCCUUGUCCUCGUACGCGUUGUCAGUUUGAGACUCUCCGGAGUGUCGGGUUGGCGCGUGGCGCGGGCGGGACGUCGGAUCGGCGCCCUCAGGAUGCUGGCGCAAUGGUUUCCAUCGACCCGUCUUGAAACACGGACCAAGGAGUCUAACAAAUAUGCGAGUAGUAAGGUGGCAAACCUUGGAUGCGCAAUGAAAGUGAAUCUUGGUGGGAUCCCUGUCAAAGGGGUGCACCAUCGACCGACCAUCCCUCGGGAGAGGUUUGAGUACGAGCAUAUCUGUUGGGACCCGAAAGAUGGUGAACUAUGCCUGAAUAGGACGAGGUCAGAGGAAACUCUGAUGGAGGUCCGAAGCGUUACUGACGUGCAAAUCGUUCGUCGAAUUUGGGUAUAGGGGCGAAAGACUAAUCGAACCAUCUAGUAGCUGGUUCCCUCCGAAGUUUCCCUCAGGAUAGCUGGAACUCGUGAAACAAGUUUUAUCAGGUAAAGCGAAUGAUUAGAGGACUCGGGGCUGAAACAGCCUCGACCUAUUCUCAAACUUUUAAUAGGUAAGACGCCUGCGCUGCUUAAUUGAGCGCGGGACUGGAAUUGGAGUUCCAUGUGGGCCAUUUUUGGUAAGCAGAACUGGCGAUGCGGGAUGAACCGAAAGUCAUGUUAAGGUGCUCAAUUGCUGGCUCAUGUAGAUCCCAC